rnacentral:rRNA from 1 species
UACGGGGGGAGCAAGCGUUGUUCGGAUUUACUGGGCGUAAAGGGCGCGUAGGCGGUCAGCACAAGUCAGUUGUGAAAUCUCCGGGCUUAACUCGGAAAGGUCAACUGAUACUGUGCGACUAGAGUGCAGAAGGGGCAACUGGAAUUCUCGGUGUAGCGGUGAAAUGCGUAGAUAUCGAGAGGAACACCUGCGGCGAAGGCGGGUUGCUGGGCUGACACUGACGCUGAGGCGCGAAAGCAUGGGUAGCGAACAGG